AAAAAAUUUGGGGGACCCCCAAAAUCGGAGCCGGGACUGCGAAAUUUGGGCUGAAAACCCCAAAAAUCGACAGCGGGACCCCCCCGGAAGCUGCCGCGAUCCCCCAAAUUUGAGGAUCCCCAAAAUCGAGGCCGGAAACCCCCAAAUUUGGGGUCGGAACCCCGAAAAUUUUGGGCCGGGAUGCGCAGAAUCGGCGAGUGAGGAGCUGAUUGGCCGAGAGCGACGAGCCCCCCCCAGCAGCACCUGCGACCCCCCCC